rnacentral:lncRNA from 1 species
UGCAGUUUGAGUUACCACGAAUAAAGUUUUGUGCAAUGUGGCGCAGACAAAAGAAAUGGGAUGUGUCUUGGACCCAUAAGUUACUUGGGUUGUUGUAGGCACUUAUAAUUGAGGGGUGUCGAUCUGAAAUAAGAGAAAUGUUAAUUUGCGGAGUAACAUGUCUUCUCAAAUUCUUUAGAAAAACCCCAAGCUGAAGUUGUCUCCCCUUCUACAAUGGCAUAGGCAAUCGGAAAGAUAAGGUUAGCUCCAUCUUGUGCGGUAGCUAUCAACAGUGUGUCAGUAUACUUUCCGUAAAACCAUGUACCAUCUACUUGUACAAUGGGUUUGCAAUAUGAAAAACCAUUAAUGCAUGGACCAAAUGACCAAAAGACACGUUUAAACAAUCUUUUGCCCGAAACUAUUUCUCCCCCCUCAUACAAGGAUUCUGUUUGAGCAGCGACCACAGUCCCGGGAACACAAGAUUGCAAAGCUCCGAAAAAUUUUGGCAGUUUGACAUAUGAUUCUUCCCAGUUUCCAUGAAUCAUCUCCAAUGCUUUUUGCUUUGCUAACCAUGUCUUCUUGUAGGAUGAGGUAUAAUUCAUGAACGUUUUGAUCUCUGCAAUCAACGUCUUGAUGGAGACAGUUGGGUUUGUUUUGAAAAUUGGUUGGAUGAUCUGUGCUAUGACGUGUUUGUCGAGUUGGCGAUGAUCUUGUCUGAGCAUCGGCACAAAACAAGUGUGAUGACCUCUGAUACUCUUGAUAAUUCAUUUGUUAUGCCUCUUUGAAUUGCAUGCGCCCAAGCUCCAUGUACAACCAUUUUCAUGUAACUUGCAGACCAAGUUUAGCCUUCUUUGGUCAGAGUAAAUUGUUCUGCAAUCAAAAUGAUUUCUGAUGUUGUAUUCUUUGAUUGCUCGAAUACAUUGUGCUUUGUCAUCGAAGGUCAUGCCAACCUCGAGUACACCAACUAGUGGUUGUACAUUGUGUUGCUGAUGAACAAAAUGGUGUCGAUCAAUAUAGUGUGAUAGGUGGUCAAAGUUCAAGUCUACUGGACACAUAGGUUGCUGAUAUUGCAAUGGAGGUGACAGAGGUGUCGUUGGUCUGCCAACACCCUCCUCAUUGCUUUGGUCAUCACUUUGGUCAUCGCUUUGGUGAUUGAUGUGAUUAAAGAACUGUUGAUCCUCAUCCUCACUAAAAUCAUCCAUGUUUUCAUCAUGAAAUCGUAUAAUGGGAUCUUCGUUAGCAAUGAGAUGUUCAUCUCGAUUUGAUGUUUGCGUUUGUGGUAGUUGUAAAGGUGGCGUAAAGGGGGAUGAAGGAUGAUUUUGUUGGUCAAAGGAGGUUUGCUGGGCAUAAAAAAAAGAAUCAUUUCCAGAUAAUAGUUGUGUGUAUGAAGUAUAAAUGUCAAAGGGGUAUUCUGCUUCAAGGUUGUUGUGUGAAGAUACUGGAUUAUUGAGGUCUAUGUUGUUGUACGGUAACUAUUGUGGAGGUUGUAGUUGUGGACAUGAGGGUUGUGGAGACAAUGGUUGUGGUUGAGGAAUAAAGUCAUAGAAUUCAGUAGAAUUCUGGAGAAUUGUUUCCAUCGCGCCUCUGAGAUCAUCAUUAUCGAAUAGUUAUGCUGAAAUAAAACGUGUCUGACCCAAAUGAAAUGAAAUAGGGACAUGAAAUAACAAUUGAGCAACUUGUUCAGUUGCUCGAGCAGGGAGACGAUUGUUAAUUUUUUGAAUGAAUUGUGUAAACGUAAUAGAACGACUGACGUAAAAAAAUAUUGGGUUCGCAAAUGUGUACAUCGAUCCUUGAACUGGGUCAUCUACAAUGUGACCAUUGUGGUAAAUGAUGGCCGCACUUUCUUUAGGUGGAGCCAUGGUGGUGCUUAUGGGAUAUGAGUGGAAAUAGUCUGAGAGUUCUAAUAGAGUUUUGUUUUGUGAGAAAG